rnacentral:rRNA from 1 species
ACGGCUCAGUAACACGUGGACAACCUACCCUUGGGACGGGGAUAAACCCGGGAAACUGGGUAUAAUACCCGAUAGAUCUCGGAAGCUGGAAUGCAUCGAGAUCGAAAGCUCCGGUGCCCAAGGAUGGGUCUGCGGCCUAUCAGGUAGUAGUGGGUGUAGCGUACCUACUAGCCUACGACGGGUACGGGUUGUGAGAGCAAGAGCCCGGAGAUGGAUUCUGAGACACGAAUCCAGGCCUUACGGGGUGCAGCAGGCGCGAAAACUUUACAAUGCCGGCAACGGCGAUAAGGGGACCUCGAGUGCCAGGUUACAAAUCUGGCUGUCGUAAUGCCUAAAAAGCAUUUCAUAGCAAGGGCCGGGCAAGACCGGUGCCAGCCGCCGCGGUAACACCGGCGGCUCGAGUGGUAACCGUUAUUAUUGGGUCUAAAGGGUCUGUAGCCGGCCGGAUAAGU